rnacentral:tRNA from 1 species
GUCCCCAUAGUUCAAUGGAUAGAACAGCAGUUUCCUAAACUGUUGAUCCAAGUUCGAUUCUUGGUGGGGACGCCA